rfam:Stegodyphus mimosarum contig2249, whole genome shotgun sequence.
GCCUUCGUGGUGCAGUGGUCAGCACGCUCGACGCGUAUUUGAGAGAUCCGUAGUUCGAGUCCCGGCGAGGGCA